AGUGAACGCUGGCGGUAGGCCUAACACAUGCAAGUCGAACGGCAGCACAGUAAGAGCUUGCUCUUACGGGUGGCGAGUGGCGGACGGGUGAGGAAUACAUCGGAAUCUACUUUUUCGUGGGGGAUAACGUAGGGAAACUUAUGCUAAUACCGCAUACGACCUACGGGUGAAAUCAGGGGAUCUUCGGACCUUGCGCGAUUGAAUGAGCCGAUGUCGGAUUAGCUAGUUGGCGGGGUAAAGGCCCACCAAGGCGACGAUCCGUAGCUGGUCUGAGAGGAUGAUCAGCCACACUGGAACUGAGACACGGUCCAGACUCCUACGGGAGGCAGCAGUGGGGAAUAUUGGACAAUGGGCGCAAGCCUGAUCCAGCCAUACCGCGUGGGUGAAGAAGGCCUUCGGGUUGUAAAGCCCUUUUGUUGGGAAAGAAAAGCAGCAGGUUAAUACCCCGCUGUUCUGACGGUACCCAAAGAAUAAGCACCGGCUAACUUCGUG
rnacentral:rRNA from 1 species